GAUUAUUGCGUCUGUCUUAACUAUCUGACGAUUUUUUGUAUUAUGAGUUAAUUGAAUGUGUAAUCUUUAUCUUUCUAGACCAUAUGAAUGUCUGCAGUCUGUCAUCAGCCACAAUGUAACUUUUCUUUCUUGUUGUUUCCAAAAAAAGGUAUGUUGCUUUCGUGUUUAUUCUAUUAACAAAUGUUAUUUGACAAUUAUUGAAGAUUUACUGAUGUUGUCUGCAAUUAACUAUUCUGUACAUUUACAUUGGUGUGCUUAUUAUGAGUAUUAUGUUAAGUUGUUCACAUUGUAUAUCAAUACUAUGUGUUUAAUGUGAAUAAUACUAUUCACAGCAGAUUCAAGUGUCGACGCUGUGGUCCAUAUGAAUGUCUGCAGUCUGUCAUCAGCCACAAUGUAACUUUUCUUUCUUGUUGUUUCCAAAAAAAGAUAAAUUGAAGCUGAAUCCCAUUUGAGAUACCGGACUACAUCAGUAUUGCCCGUGGAAGCUGCCAAAUGCAGCGGAGUGACCUGAUAGUUAUCUGCAUCCGAGAAUCGGAACAUUCCAGUCUCCCACAGGCCCAGUUACUUACACACUUCCACCACCGACUGCAUGAUGAAGAGAUGAUUUCCCCUGCUCAUCUAAUAUCUGAAAAGCAGAGUUUAUGAUGGAUGUUUUAAUUAAAAUUACAAACAUAAGAUGGAUGAGGUCUCUCAUACCUGCAAGCGAAGUGAAAAGGAGUUUGUCCUGCAUCACAAGGGAUGUUUGGAUCAGCACCAUUGUUCAGCAGGAGCUCAGCCACUGGCCGGUUUCCGUGGAGAGCAGCAAAGUGGAGGGCUGUGAAACCUCCCCAACCUAAGGAAAUGAGAAAACUUUAUAAAAAAAACCCCCACGACUUUGAAAAAGUAUUGAGAAGAGCUGACAAUUAAAAUAUAAACAUGCAGUGGAAAAGUUGUGUAUACAAUAAUCUCUCAUUGAUGUCUAUGUAGCUGUAUUGCUCAUCAGUUAUAAAAGUUUUUCAUACAGUAAAUGUUUUUUGUACUUUUCACAAUA